GACGAACGCUGGCGGCGUGCUUAACACAUGCAAGUCGAACGGAAAGGCCCUGCUUUUGUGGGGUGCUCGAGUGGCGAACGGGUGAGUAACACGUGAGUAACCUGCCCUUGACUUUGGGAUAACUUCAGGAAACUGGGGCUAAUACCGGAUAGGAGCUCCUGCUGCAUGGGGGGGGUUGGAAAGUUUCGGCGGUUGGGGAUGGACUCGCGGCUUAUCAGGUUGUUUGGUGGGUAGUGGGUUAGCAAGGCCUGGACGCGUAGCCGGCCGGGGAGGGUGACCGGCCCCCUUGCGCCUGGAAUGCGGCCCCGACCCCUCCCGGAGGGGAGGGUGGGGUAUGUUGCCUUAUGGGACGGAGGCUGGUGCGACGACGCCGCGUCGCGGGUGUGGGGCUUCUGGUUGGAAUCCGCUUUCGCCUGUGACGAAGCGUGAGUGACGGUAAUGGGUAAAGAAGCACCGGCUAACUACGUG
rnacentral:rRNA from 1 species